rnacentral:rRNA from 1 species
UACGUAGGUGGCAAGCGUUGUCCGGAUUUACUGGGUGUAAAGGGCGUGUAGGCGGGUCAGCAAGUCAGAUGUGAAAUCCCGGGGCUUAACUCCGGAACUGCAACUGAAACUGUAGAUCUUGAGUACUGGAGAGGAAAGUGGAAUUCCUAGUGUAGCGGUGAAAUGCAUAGAGAUUAGGAGGAACACCAGUGGCGAAGGCGGCUUUCUGGACAGUAACUGACGCUGAGGCGCGAAAGCGUGGGGAGCAAACAGG